CGACGCCGCGUGCGGGAAGAAGGCCUUAGGGUUGUAAACCGCUUUCAGGAGGACGAAGCCACUCGGGUUAAUAGCCCAGAGGGUGACGGUACCUCCAGAAGAAGCCCCGGCUAACUACGUGCCAGCAGCCGCGGUAAUACGUAGGGGGCGAGCGUUGUCCGGAUUCAUUGGGCGUAAAGCGCGUGUAGGCGGUCAGGUAGGUCCGAUGUGAAAACUGGAGGCUCAACCUCCAGCUGUCAUUGGAAACCAUCUGGCUAGAGUCCGGAAGAGGAGAGUGGAAUUCCUGGUGUAGCGGUGAAAUGCGCAGAUAUCAGGAAGAACACCUAUGGCGAAGGCAGCUCUCUGGGACGGUACUGACGCUGAGACGCGAAAGCGUGGGGAGCGAACAGGAUUAGAUACCCUGGUAGUCCACGCCGUAAACGAUGGGCGCUAGGUGUGGGCGGUGUCGACUCCGUCCGUGCCGAAGCUAACGCAUUAAGCGCCCCGCCUGGGGAGUACGGCCGCAAGGCUA
rnacentral:rRNA from 1 species